rnacentral:rRNA from 1 species
GACGAACGCUGGCGGCGUGCUUAACACAUGCCAGUCGAACGGAAAGGCCCUGCUUUUGUGGGGUGCUCGAGUGGCGAACGGGUGAGUAACACGUGAGUAACCUGCCCUUGACUUUGGGAUAACUUCAGGAAACUGGGGCUAAUACCGGAUAGGAGCUCCUGCUGCAUGGUGGGGGUUGGAAAGUUUCGGCGGUUGGGGAUGGACUCGCGGCUUAUCAGCUUGUUGGUGGGGUAGUGGCUUACCAAGGCUUUGACGGGUAGCCGGCCUGAGAGGGUGACCGGCCACAUUGGGACUGAGAUACGGCCCAGACUCCUACGGGAGGCAGCAGUGGGGAAUAUUGCACAGUGGGAGGAAGCCUGAUGCAGCAACGCCGCGUGCGGGAUGACGGCCUGCGGGUUGUAAACCGCUGUCGCCUGUGACGAAGCGUGAGUGACGGUAAUGGGUAAAGAAGCACCGGCUAACUACGUG